ensembl:lncRNA novel transcript
GGUGCCCCAGCCCCGGGAGGCCCUCCUCAAGCCCUUGCCUGCUCUGGGACCCCUGGCUGCGGGCUGACCCUGAAGGGGCAUCUUGAGGCCAGGACUGGACCUGGCAAGGCCCCGGCCGAGGUCACGGCUCGAGUGUGACUGUGAACUUGGACAUCUGACCCCAAAGCUCACUCCUGGGACAAACCCAAGAGAAUCGGAAACAGACGUCACACAAAUUGUUGUCCACAGAUGUUCAAAGCAGACUCUUCAUAGCUGCUCAGGUGUCCACAAACGAUCGACAGAUAAGCCCAGCGUGGCCCUCCACACCAGGGAACAGGAUUCCACCAGGAAAAGAAUGAGGCCCGCACGGCUGCAGGGGGUGAGCCUGGAGAAUGGCGAUGGGGGACAGAAGCCAGACACACAGCCCCGACUGUGAGCUUCCGUUUCUAUGCAGGCCCAGAACAGGCGGGUCCGGAGGCGGGAGGAGGCCCGGGUUGCCAGGGCGGCGGUGGGAGAGAUGCUCACGGGGAGGGAGUUCUCUUCCAGGUGGAGAGCGUUUGGAACCAGACGGGAGUGAGGGUCACUCAACAUCGCAAAUGGACUAAAUGCUACCGAAUUGUACGCUUUAAAACGGUUCAUUUUAUGUGAUGUGAAUUUCAGCUCAAUAAAGAAAAAAGAUUUAAAAUGUG